rnacentral:lncRNA from 1 species
GUGUGUCCUUAGGGACGCCGGGAUUGUCUGUGCUGUGGGUUCCGCGCGGGCCUUGGCCACGGGGGCGCGCUGGAGUCGGUUGGAGUCCGGGCAUGGCCCGGAGCCACCUGGCUCCAUUGCUGACCCCUCUAAUGUUUCUAGGUCUGGUGUCCCCUACUCAGAUCAACCCAGACUACCAGUACUUUGGGCAGCAGGGUGAAGGUGACACCUGGGAGCUACUGAGGCUGCAGCGACAAAAGGUAGUGGAAGACUCAGUCCUAGGCCCGUGGGGAAAGUGGCGUUGUUUCUGCAGUCUGGGCAAACAGGAACGCAGCCGUCAGGUGUUGGGCCCAGCACCAGUCCCUGUGUUCAUGGACCGAGAGGACCUGGUACAGUUGAGGCCGUGCCGGCAGCAGGACUGCUCAGCUUGCAACCCGAUGGACUGCAACUGGAGGCCCUGAGCAGAGUCACUGAGGGCCAGGCUCCAGCAGCAACGGGGCGGAGCUUACAAAGUGACCCUGCCCACCCUCGAUUACAAACCACACCCUUAGUGAUAGUCCUGGAAGACUACAAUUCCCAGGAGAGAGCACGACAGCGGCGACAGCAGCGCAGGCGGCAUGGAUCUCAGCGAACUGGAGAGGGACAAUACAGGCCGUUGUCGCCUGAGUUCUCCUGUACCUGCCGUGUGCCUC